AGAGAAUUACUUAUUUUAUUUACAGUCCUAGUCAAGUUUACAUUAACCUUGCAGAAACAAAAUGCAUGUUAUUUUUGUUAUUUAUGUAUGCUAAAAAGAUUUGUUGGCUCAACAUCCGUUACUUAUCAAGAAAAACAGAUUAAACUAAUAUAUAUAUAAUUUAUAACUUACAAAAUUUUAAGAUACAAAUUCUCACACAAAAAUGUAAAAUAAAAGUGUAUGAAAAAUAAUUUAAGUAACAUCAACUAGCAUUACAACUUGGUUAAAAUUAAGUAAACCUAACUUAAAAUUUGACGUAUUUGUGAGCUGCGUGAUAUGCAAAUAUUAUAUCCAGCCAAUGAGCGAAGCUGGAGCCAUUUUAAGUGAUGUGAUGAAGACAGCGAGAACUCUGUCAGGUAAACUGUCUUUAAAAACAUUAAGUAAAAUAUUAGAGCUUGACCUUUUAAACAUUCAUAAACACUUGUUUGUGUUAGUGCGCUUCUAAACCGGAAGCACAAUACGUUUUCUGAGGCGUGAUGUGGUGACGAUGAUGAAAGGAGAUGGGUUUAUUCCUAAACUGGAAGCACAACGCAACAUUUUCUGAAGUACAAUGUGGUGAAGAUGGUGAAAGGAGUGUGAACAGUUGUGGAGCAAAAAUAGCAGGAUAUGGUGGAUCCUGUUAGAACAAUUUCUGAAGACCAAACCUGUUCAGAUAUACAGAGAAGUUGAUUCAGUGUUUAAUGUUGUACCUCUCUGACAACACUAAUGAUCUCAUCAGGCAUCACCAGGAUGGUCAUGGUGACCUUGAGGAACUGGAACAGCACACACACUGAUCACGAAGGUGGAUUCAUGGAUGAUGGGAACUUUCUUUUUGUCAAAUUGUCACAUUUUUUUUUUUUUUUUCAGAAGUACUACAGUCAUGAUUUUUGGUUUCAGACUAUAUAAGUUGUUGUUGUUUCCAGAGUAGUAUUGCAAUCUCUGUCAAAAAACCUAAAAUGCUUUAUUUCUGUACUAAUUGUGUGAAAACCUUUUGUUGAAAUGCUGUCCAAAAAUGAAGUAAAAUGCUUUGUUUUCUGCUAAUUGUAUGUUUUAUUGGCUUAUUCUAAAGACAUUUAAUGUUCUGGAACAGUACAGUAAGUUUUAAAUUAAAUUUCUAAGUUGUUUCAACACAACUUACUAUUACUUGGUAGUUUGAACUGGUGUUUUUAAGUAAAAAAUGUUGAGUAAACAAAUAUAUUUAACAAAUAUACAAACCCGUUUCCAAAAAAGUUGGGACACUGUACAAAUUGUGAAUAAAAAAGGAAUGCAAUGAUGUGGAAGUUUCAAAUUUCAAUAUUUUAUUCAGAAUACAACAUAGAUGACAUAUCAAAUAUUUAAACUGAGAAAAUGUAUCAUUUUAAGGGAAAAAUAAGUUGAUUUUAAAUUUCAUGGCAUCAACACAUCUCAAAAAAGUUGGGACAAGGCCAUGUUUACCACUGUGUGGCAUCCCCUCUUCUUUUUAUAACAGUCUGCAAACGUCUGGGGACUGAGGAGACAAGUUGCUCAAGUUUAGGAAUAGGAAUGUUGUCCCAUUCUUGUCUAAUACAGGCUUCUAGUUGCUCAACUGUCUUAGGUCUUCUUUGUCGCAUCUUCCUCUUUAUGAUGCGCCAAAUGUUUUCUAUGGGUGAAAGAUCUGGACUGCAGGCUGGCCAUUUCAGUACCCGGAUCCUUCUUCUACGCAGCCAUGAUGUUGUAAUUGAUGCAGUAUGUGGUCUGGCAUUGUCAUGCUGGAAAAUGCAAGGUCUUCCCUGAAAGAGACGACGUCUGGAUUGUAGCAUAUGUUGUUCUAGAACUUGGAUAUACCUUUCAGCAUUGAUGGUGCCUUUCCAGAUGUGUAAGCUGCCCAUGCCACACGCACUCAUGCAACCCCAUACCAUCAGAGAUGCAGGCUUCUGAACUGAGCGCUGAUAACAACUUGGGUUGUCUUUGUCCUCUUUAGUCCGGAUGACAUGGUGUCCCAGUUUUCCAAAAAGAACUUCAAAUUUUGAUUCGUCUGACCACAGAACAGUUUUCCACUUUGCCACAGUCCAUUUUAAAUGAGCCUUGGCCCAGAGAAAACGCCUGCGCUUCUGGAUCAUGUUUAGAUAUGGCUUCUUUUUUGACCUAUAGAGUUUUAGCCGGCAACGGCGAAUGACACGGUGGAUUGUGUUUUCUGGAAGUAUUCCUGAGCCCAUGUUGUGAUUUCCAUUACAGUAGCAUUCCUGUAUGUGAUGCAGUGCUGUCUAAGGGCCCGAAGAUCACAGGCAUCCAGUAUGGUUUUCCGGCCUUGACCCUUACGCACAGAGAUUGUUCCAGAUUCUCUGAAUCUUUGGAUGAUAUUAUGCACUGUAGAUGAGGAUAACUUCAAACUCUUUGCAAUUUUUCUCUGAGAAACUCCUUUCUGAUAUUGCUCCACUAUUUUUCGCCGCAGCAUUGGGGGAAUUGGUGAUCCUCUGCCCAUCUUGACUUCUGAGAGACACUGCCACUCUGAGAGGCUCUUUUUAUACCCAAUCAUGUUGCCAAUUGACCUAAUAAGUUGCAAAUUGGUCCUCCAGCUGUUCCUUAUAUGUAUAUUUAACUUUUCCGGCCUCUUAUUGCUACCUGUCCCAUCUGUUUUGGAAUGUGUAGCUCUCAUGAAAUCCAAAAUGAGCCAAUAUUUGGCAUGACAUUUCAAAAUGUCUCACUUUCAACAUUUGAUAUGUUAUCUAUAUUCUAUUGUGAAUAAAAUAUAAGUUUAUGAGAUUUGUAAAUUAUAGCAUUCCUUUUUUAUUCACAAUUUGUACAGUGUCCCAACUUUUUUGGAAUCGGGUUUGUAUAAGUACCUAUAACAGGUUUUCUUGUUAGUUUUACAUAAAAUUGCUUCAAGUUGGAUUUAUUUAAAAAGUGUGGUGCAAAAACUGUGCAUACAUAUUUUAAGUAAAUCCAACACAUCAUUUUUUUUUGCAGUAAUGACACAAUAUUAAUAACCACUUAUAUGUAAAUUUCUCCAAUAUUUUUCAGCUCGUCUGCCUGUUCCUGACAUCAGCAGAGACUCUUCACAAUGUUCUUCAUCAUCAUCAUCAUCAUCAUCAUCAUGUUCAUUGGUGUGUUCAGCUGUGAAUGUGAGUCAUGUGACUCUCUCCUGGUUCAAAGGAAACAGUUCAUUGUCCAGCAUCAGUGUGUCUGAUCUCAGCAUCAGUCUCUCUCUACCUCUGGAGGUGGAAUAUGAGGAUCAAAACACCUACAGCUGUGUGCUGAACAAUCCCAUCAGAAACCAGACUCAACACCUCAACAACACUCAACUCUGUCACACAUGUGCAGAGAGUAUCCACUGUUGUGGCUUUACUGAAGCUGUGAUCCGAUUGGCUCUCUCUGCUGUGGUGGGUGUGGCUACUGUGGUUGUUCUGGUUUAUGACAUCAGAUCCAGAAGUCUUCAACAGAAGAAGAGCGUCCAGAAAUAACCAUCAAACUCUGAUUAAUCUCUCAGGAAGAUGGAGAUGAUCCAGAAUGACUGGAGAGAUUAAAGUAUAUUACAAGAAACCUUUUGAGUAAAUAGCAUUCAUGAACAGACAGAUAGAUAGAUAGAUAGAUAGAUAGAUAUCACACCUGAUUUAACUCAUUGGCUCAUUAGUAGAGACUGCAAGACCUGAAGUGUCAAAUUAGGGAGACAUACACAAUGUGCAGGGCUGGUGCUAGCUACUCCAGGACAACCACUGAUUUAAGUCAAAUGUUAAUUCAUUUUAUAAAAUCUUAACGGUCCUUUAAAAAAAUUAAAAUACACUAUACAUUUUAGAACAGGAUAACGUACAACAUCAUCCUGAAAACAUCCAAAGAAGUAUCAGUCACUGGUAAUACAUGUAACAUAGAUUAAAAAAUUUCAUCUGAAUACACAAUUAUGUUUAAAUGAUCUUAAGAAAAGGAGGAUGUCUUGUGUUUCCAGACCUGUAGUUACAACAUCUACCAGCAAUAGGAUUUACUGAAAAUACAUAGAGGCCUACUGUGAAAAUCCUCAAAAUUUUAAAAGUUCAGUCACUAGUAGGCGCUACAUCAGGGUCUGUAUGAGAGACUCACUGUCUGAGAGAGUCAUUGUUUCAUCAGAAUUCAAUCGUCUCCUCAGUUCCAAAUUUUUGGCAAAACAACACAAGCACAGAUGAUGGUUUAGACCCUGUAGCACUCAUUAUAUUUCAUAGUUCUAUAAUCUUCAAAAAUGUUUAAAAGAAGCAAAUUUAAAUGUAUUUGUUCAGUAUUAAAAACAAAAUUUCCCAUGCA